GUGUCAGCCGCCGCGGUAAUACCGGCAGCCCAAGUGAUGGCCGAUUUUAUUGGGCCUAAAGCGUCCGUAGCUGGCCGCACAAGUCCAUCGGAAAAUCCACCCGCCCAACGGGUGGGCGUCCGGUGGAAACUGUGUGGCUUGGGACCGGAAGGCGCGACGGGUACGUCCGGGGUAGGAGUGAAAUCCCGUAAUCCUGGACGGACCGCCGAUGGCGAAAGCACGUCGCGAGGACGGAUCCGACAGUGAGGGACGAAAGCCAGGGUCUCGAACCGGAUUAGAAACCCCCGUAGUCC
rnacentral:rRNA from 1 species